AUCCGGUGGUUCUGCGUGGAAGGGCCAUCGCUCAACGGAUAAAAGCUACCCUGGGGAUAACAGGCUUAUCUCCCCCAAGAGUCCACAUCGACGGGGAGGUUUGGCACCGCGAUGUCGGCUCAUCACAUCCUGGGGCUGUAGUAGGUCCCAAGGGUUGGGCUGUUCGCCCAUUAAAGUGGUACGCGAGCUGGGUUCAGAACGUCGUGAGACAGUUCGGUGCCUAUCCGUCGCAGGCG
rnacentral:rRNA from 1 species